rnacentral:rRNA from 1 species
CCUACGGGUGGCAGCAGUGGGGAAUAUUGCACAAUGGGGGGAACCCUGAUGCAGCGACGCCGCGUGGGUGAAGGAGUAUUUCGGUAUAUAAAGCCCUAUCAGCAGGGAAGAACAAUGACGGUCCCUUACUAAGAAGCACCGGCUAAAUACGUGCCAGCAGCCGCGGGACUACGUAGGGUGCAAGCGUUAUCCGGAUGUACUGGGUGUAAAGGGCGUGCAGGCGGCGCGUUAAGCCUGGCGUGAAAGCCCGCGGCCCAACCGCAGAACUGCAUUUGGAACUGGCGCGCUGGAGUGCCGGAGGGGUAUGCGGAAUGCCUGGUGUAGCGGUGAAAUGCGUAGAUAUUAGGAGGAACACCAGUGGCGAAGGCGGCCUACUGGACGGUGACUGACGCUGAGGCUCGAAAGCGUGGGGAGCAAACAGGAUUAGAUACCCCUGUAGUC